rnacentral:rRNA from 1 species
GACAGAGGAUGCAAACGUUGCUCGGAAUUACUGGGCGUAAAGCGCGCGCAGGUGGUCCGGUAAGUCGGGUGUGAAAUCUCCAAGCUCAACUUGGAAAUGGCAUCGGAUACUAUUCGGCUCGAGGAAUGGAGGGGAGACUGGAAUACUUGGUGUAGCAGUGAAAUGCGUAGAUAUCAAGUGGAACACCAGUGGCGAAGGCGAGUCUCUGGACAUUUCCUGACGCUGAGGCACGAAAGCCAGGGGAGCAAACGGG